AUACGGAGGGUCCGAGCGUUAUCCGGGUUUAUUGGGUUUAAAGGGUGCGUAGGCGGACUGAUAAGCGGGCGGUGAAAGCGUGCGGCUCAACCGUACAAUGGCCGCCCGAACUGUUGGUCUUGGGUGCGGACGACGUGGGCGGAAUGUGCCGUGUAGCGGUGAAAUGCUUAGAUAUGGCACAGAACGCCGAUUGCGAAGGCAGCUCACGAGGGCGCCACCGACGCUGAGGCACGAAAGCGUGGGGAUC
rnacentral:rRNA from 1 species